GGGGGAAAAAUUAAUAAAAUUAAAAUAAAAAAAAUUUUUUUAAAUACAAAAGGGGUUAAAGUAUUUAUAAAGAAAAAAUUUUAAAAUUUAUAGUAGAAUAGUUUUGUGGGGGAAUUUUGAAAUAAGUUAAAAAUAAUUUAAAUGAAAGUAAUUUUAGUUUAAUGUAUCUUGGGUAUCAGAGUUUAUUAAUAAAAAAUUUUAAAUUAGAAUUUUCUCGAAUUUAAAAGAGUUAAUUAAUUAAUAAAAUUAUUGUAGCAAAAAUAUUUUAAAUAAUUAAUUUGAAAUGAAAUGUUAAUCGUUUUUAAAUAUAUCUAGUUUUUUUAGAAAAAAAUUUAAUUUUAAAUUUUGUUAAAAUUAUUUAAAUUAAAAUAAAUAAUUUAAUUAAAAUUUUAUAGUUUAGGGGAUAAGCUUUAAAUUAAAAUAUUAUAAUAAGAUAAAAUUAAAUUAAAAUUUUUAUAAUUUAAAUUGUUAAUAAAUUUUAAUUUUUUAUAAAUAAUUUUAAUGAGAAAAAAAUUUAAUAAAUGAAUUUAAUUUUAUAUAAAAAAAUAAAUUUAAAUAAUUUUAAUUUAAAUAUAAUGAUAAAAUUAGUAUAUUAUAAUAAUUUAAUAAAUAAAUUAUUUAAUUAUAAAAAAUUAAUUAGAAGGAAUUCGGCAAAAAUUUAUAUUCACUUGUUUAUCAAAAACAUGUCUUUUUGUUAAUAAUUUAAAGUCUAAUCUGCCCACUGAUGAAAAUUAAAGGGCUGCAGUAAUUUGACUGUACAAAGGUAGCAUAAUCAUUAGUCUCUUAAUUGGUGACUUGUAUGAAAGAUUGGAUGAAAUAUAAACUGUCUCAUAAUUAUAAAUAAAAUUUAAUUUUUUAAUUAAAAAGUUAAAAUAAUUUUAAAAGACGAGAAGACCCUAUAGAGUUUAAUAAAUUUAUAAUAAAUAAUUUUAUAUAAAAAGUUAAUAAAAAUUAAAAAAUUUAUUUUAUUGGGGUGAUAGAAAAAUUAAAUUAACUUUUUUUAAAUUAUAACAUAAAUAAGUGAUUAAUAGAUCCAAAAUUUUUGAUUUUAAGAAAAAAUUACCUUAGGGAUAACAGCGUAAUUUUUAUUUUUAGUUCUUAUAAGAAUAAAAGUUUGCGACCUCGAUGUUGGAUUAAGAUAAAAUUUAAAUGCAAAAGUUUAAAAUUUUGAUCUGUUCGAUCAUUAAAAUCUUACAUGAUCUGAGUUCAAACCGGUGUAAGCCAGGUUGGUUUCUAUCUUUAUAAAAAUAAAAUAUUUUAGUACGAAAGGAUCAAAUAUUUAAAAUAAUUUUAAUUUUUUGAAUUUUAAUAAAAUUUAUAUAAAA
rnacentral:rRNA from 1 species